GGUUAUUUAUAUUGAUAUCACUGUUGAUAAACGAAAACACUCAUAAAUAAUCUCAUGCAUGUAACUUAAAUUUAAAAUCAGCUCUCAGGCAAACCGAAAUGUCACUUUUGGAGUACUCUGAAGCCUUCACAACACGUGUGAAAUCCCUCCUGAAAAACACCCAUAACUGUAAAGUUUGCCCAUACUUUACAACGUUAUCCUUUUUCAUGGUAAACCACCUCCGGCGACAUUGUGCCUCCAUGCUACAUUUUAACUGUGAAAAUACCAAACUUGAACCCUUUUAUUGCAGCGACUGUGAUUUCAAAACCCAACUAACGCUUCGUUUCAAACAACACAUUAAAGACCACCACAGCAUCAAAGAACAAUAUGGCAUGAAUAUUUACCACAUGGUUACGAAAGAUGUUAAGUGGUACAUAUGUGACAAGUGUCCCUAUAAAACUAAAAGAAAUUUCGAUUUAAAGAAACACAUAAACACGCAGCAUUUGGACGACACGAGUAUUAAAUGGCACAAAUGCGAGAAAUGUCCAUUCAAAAGCAAAUUUAAUUUUAAUUUAAAAAAGCACGUAAAUUCGCAUCAUGUAGAUGAGAAGGAUAUCAUAUGGUAUAAGUGUGAGAGUUGUGCGUAUAAAUCUAAUCGCAAAGAGACGUUGAGGAGACAUAUAAACGUACGACACUUGGAUGAACAGGAUGUUAAAUGGUACGAAUGCCAGAAGUGUCCAUACAAAACUAAACACAACUCUAAUUUAAAAAAGCACGUAGAUACACAGCAUUUAGAUGAGCAGUAUAUUAAGUGGUUCGAAUGUAAUAAGUGCUCAUACAGAGCUAAAAGAAAUUUUGAUUUAAAGAAGCACAUAAGUACGAAGCAUUUGGAUGAAAAGGACAUUAAGUGGAACCAGUGUGAAAGCUGUGGAUACAAAUCUAACCGCAAAGACACGUUAACAAGGCAUAUAAAUGUACGACAUAUGAAUGAAAGAAUAUUGUAGUAUUUGGAUCAAUAUAACGAGUGUUUUUGUU